CAAACAGUCCCCAAUUCAUAAACCCAUCCAAUUCUACAUAAUAAUAAUAAUAAAAAUGUGAAUUCAAAAUUCCAAAAUUCCAUCCCCUCCUCUCCUCUAUCUUCUCCUUCUUACUUUCCUCUGCUCUGGCGCUUUUAUCUCUCACACACAGCCUCCACUCUCAUGGAAGAAAUAGAGGCCGCCGGAGGAAGCCAUGGCCACGGCGGCGAAGAAGCUCUCAGGCGAGGGACUUACCUGGUGUGGGAGGAUCUCACGGUGGUUCUCCCCAAUUUCCGAGAUGGCCCCACCAAGAGACUCCUCAACGGCCUCCGCGGCUACGCCGAGCCCGGCCGCAUCAUGGCCAUCAUGGGCCCUUCCGGCUCCGGCAAAUCCACCCUUCUUGACACUCUCGCAGGCAGACUCUCCAAGAAUGUGGUAAUGACUGGGAAUGUCUUUCUCAAUGGAAAGAAGAGGAAGCUUGGACAUGGCGACGUCGCCUAUGUUACCCAGGAAGAUAUAUUACUGGGAACUCUAACGGUGAGAGAAACCAUAAGCUACUCAGCCCAGCUGAGGCUUCCGAGUUCUAUGACCAGAGAUGAGGUCAAUAGCAUCGUCGAGGCGACCAUUUUGGAAAUGGGUCUUCAAGAUUGCGCCGAUCGAUUGAUUGGUAACUGGCAUCUCCGAGGAAUUAGUGGUGGGGAGAAGAAGAGAUUGAGUAUUGCAGUGGAAAUUCUCACUCGCCCUAGUUUGCUCUUUCUCGACGAACCCACCAGUGGCCUCGACAGUGCCUCGGCUUUCUUCGUGAUUCAAACUCUUAGAAAUGUCGCUCGUGAUGGCCGGACUGUUGUUUCUUCCAUUCACCAGCCGAGUAGUGAGGUUUUUGCUCUAUUUGAUGACCUUUUUUUGCUCUCUGGAGGCGAGGCUGUUUACUUUGGGGAAGCGAAAAUGGCUGUACAGUUCUUUGCCGAAGCUAAUUUUCCAUGCCCAAGUAGAAGGAACCCAUCUGAUCACUUCCUUCGAUGUAUAAAUUCGGAUUUCGACAUUGUUACGGCAACUCUCAAGGGGUCUCAAAGAAUUCGAGACAUCCCAGAAUCAUCAGACCCUUUCAUGAAUUUGGCAACAGCUGAAAUAAAGUCAAUGCUUGUUGAAAAAUAUAGGAGCUCAAAGUAUGCAAGUAGGGUGAAGGCCAGAAUUCGAGAAAUAUCCACCAUUGAAGGACUUGACGUUGAGAAAGAAAAAGGAGACAGUGCUAGUUUGUUGACGCAGCUCUCGACAUUGACCCGUAGAUCAUUCGUGAAUAUGUGUAGAGACGUGGGAUAUUAUUGGCUAAGGAUUAUUAUCUAUGUAAUCGUCUCCAUAUGUGUUGGUACAAUCUACUUUGAUGUUGGAACCAGUUACACUGCAAUCUUGGCUCGAGGAGCCUGUGGUGGAUUUAUAACUGGCUUUAUGACAUUUAUGACUAUAGGGGGCUUUCCAUCUUUCAUUGAGGAAAUGAAGAUGUUUUACAGAGAGAGGCUCAAUGGGUACUAUGGAGUUACUGUGUUUAUACUGUCAAACUUCCUCUCUUCUUUCCCAUUCUUGGUUUCAAUUUCAAUUGUUUCUGGGACUAUCACCUUUUUCAUGGUGAAAUAUCGGCCGGAGUUCUCCCGCUACAUGUUCUUCUGCCUUAAUAUUUUUGGCUGCAUCUCUGUAAUAGAAGGGUUGAUGAUGGUUGUGGCUUCAUUGGUUCCAAACUUCCUGAUGGGAAUUAUAACAGGCGCUGGAAUCAUUGGUAUCAUGAUGAUGACCUCGGGCUUCUUCAGAUUGUUGCCUGACCUUCCGAAGCCAUUUUGGCGGUAUCCAAUCUCAUAUCUCAGUUAUGGCUCUUGGGCACUACAGGGUGCUUACAAGAAUGACUUGAUCGGGCUUGAGUUCGACCCAAUGAUACCUGGAAUGCCAAAGUUGAGUGGUGAGUAUGUAAUCACCAACAUGUACGGGAUUCCAAUAAGCCAUUCCAAAUGGUGGGACUUAACAGCCCUCAUGCUCCUUGUUCUUCUGUACCGAAUUCUCUUCUUUCUUGUCUUGAAGCUCAAAGAGAGAGCUUCACCAUUGUUGCGAACAAUGUUCACUAAGAAAACUCUGCAACAUCUUCAGAGGAGGCCUUCCUUCAGGAAAAUGCCUUCUGUUUCCUCAAAGAGGCACCAACCUCUUCACUCACUCUCUUCCCAAGAAGGUCUUAACUCUCCUCUCCACUAGAAGCACCAAGAACAACUUGGAAAGCUUGUACCUAUAACAAUGUAACUUCUUAGAGGAUUGGAAUCUGCAUCUGAGCACGUCUAAGAAAAGAGAAGUGGAGAAAAAAACCCUGCAUCUUCCCUUUCUACUGGGGAAAAAAACCCUGCAUCCUUCAAGAAGGAAGUACCUUAAUUUCCUGUCUUGUUCUCAGGACGAAUCUCUACUUUUAUAAGCAAUAUCCACCAGUACUCUUAAAAUCAGCCUGCCACUGCAGAUCAAAUUUCUUAAAGUUCGUAUCUUAAAUACCUAUGACCCAAUUUCUUUAGAGCCUAAUUCAAGAAAGUCAUGUGCAACAUUUAAAGUGAGAAAAGAUGAGGUCAUCUAUAGUCUUGGGUUUAGGAUUUUGUUUUUCUUGGGAUGUAUUGUAUCUGUAUGUAUGUAUAUAUAUGGACUGCAGUGUUCCAAUGUAUUCCUAAUCCGAGAAGCCCUGCUAUGAGUUCCUGUGUUUUC